GAUGAAUAACGUAGCGAAAUGCGAUAAGUAAUGUGAAUUGCAGAAUUCCGUGAAUCAUCGAAUCUUUGAACGCACAUUGCGCCCCCUGGUAUUCCGGGGGGCAUGCCUGUCCGAGCGUCAUUGCAACCCUCAAGCGCGGCUUGUGUGUUGGGCUUCGUCCCCCCGUGGACGUGCCCGAAAGGCAGUGGCGGCGUCCCGAAUGGUGCCCGAGCGUAUGGGAACUCUCUUCCGCUCGAACCGGCCCAUUCGGCGCUGGUCGAACCCCAAUUUUUUUUUACCGGUUGACCUCGGAUCAGGUAGGGAUACCCGCUGAACUUAAGCAUAUCAAUAAGCGGAGGA
rnacentral:misc_RNA from 1 species